rnacentral:rRNA from 1 species
UAUCAGUCCACUAAUUAGGAAUAAACCUAACUAGGCUGUAAAAAGCCAUAAGCUACAAUAAUCAUCACCCUAAAAAUAAACAACUUUAACUCGUGAAAGUUAGGAUACAAACUAAGAUUAGAUACCCUACUAUGCCUAACUAUAACACAACAAUAAAAUUACCCAUUGUUCGCCAAAUAACUACGAGUAAAAACUUAAAAUUUAAAAGACUUGACGGUACUUCACACCAACCUAGAGGAGCCUGUUCAAUAACCGAUACUCCACGAUUAACCCCACCCCCCCUAGCCCACAGUCUAUAUACCGCCGUCGCCAGCCUACCUUAUGAAAGAAACAAAGUAAGCCAAAUAGCCACACACUAACACGACAGGUCGAGGUGUAACUUAUGGGAGGGAUCAAAAUGGGCUACAUUUUCUAAUACAGAAAAUACGGAUAGACUAUGAAAUAAGAAACUAAAGGAGGAUUUAGCAGUAUGUUGGGAACAAAAUACCCAACCGAAAUUUGCAAUGAAGUGCGUACACACCGCCCGUCAUCCCUGUUAACAAACUAAAAUAUUCAUAAACAAAAAUCAACUAUAAAGCAGGGCAAGUCGUAACAUG